AGUGGCGAACGGGUGAGUAACGCGUGGACAACCAACCUUAUAGUGGGGGACAACACUUCGAAAGGAGUGCUAAUACCGCAUAAGCUCUUUGGGCCGCAUGGUUUGAAGAGGAAAGGGGCAACAGCUCCGCUAAAAGACGGGUCCGCGUCUGAUUAGCUAGUUGGAGGGGUAACGGCCCACCAAGGCGACGAUCAGUAGCCGGUCUGAGAGGAUGAACGGCCACACUGGGACUGAGACACGGCCCAGACUCCUACGGGAGGCAGCAGUGGGGAAUCUUCCGCAAUGGACGAAAGUCUGACGGAGCGACGCCGCGUGAGUGAGGAAGGCCUUCGGGUCGUAAAGCUCUGUCAUCAGGGACGAAUGGCCGGUGGAGUGGAAAGCCACCGGAUUGACGGUACCUGAGAAGGAAGCCACGGCUAACUACGUGCCAGCAGCCGCGGUAAUACGUAGGUGGCAAGCGUUGUCCGGAAUUAUUGGGCGUAAAGCGCGCGCAGGUGGGAUCUUAAGUCCAUUUUGAAAGUUCGGAGCUCAACUCCGUGAUGGGAUGGAAACUGGGAUUCUUGAGUACCGGAGAGGAAAGCGGAAUUCCCCGUGUAGCGGUGAAAUGCGUAGAUAUGGGGAGGAACACCAGUGGCGAAGGCGGCUUUCUGGACGGUGUCUGACACUGAGGCGCGAAAGCUAGGGGAGCGAACGGGAUUAGAUACCCCGGUAGUCCUGGCC
rnacentral:rRNA from 1 species